UCCCGCGUAACUCAGCUGGUAGAGUGGGUGGCUGUUAACCACCUUGUCGCUGGUUCGAGUCCAGCCGCGGGAG
rnacentral:tRNA from 1 species